rnacentral:rRNA from 1 species
UACGUAGGGUGCGAGCGUUGUCCGGAAUUACUGGGCGUAAAGAGCUCGUAGGUGGUUUGUCGCGUUGUCCGUGAAAACUCACAGCUUAACUGUGGGCGUGCGGGCGAUACGGGCAGACUGGAGUACUGCAGGGGAGACUGGAAUUCCUGGUGUAGCGGUGGAAUGCGCAGAUAUCAGGAGGAACACCGGUGGCGAAGGCGGGUCUCUGGGCAGUAACUGACGCUGAGGUGCGAAAGCGUGGGGAGCAAACAGG